rnacentral:rRNA from 1 species
AUUGAACGCUGGCGGCAGGCCUAACACAUGCAAGUCGAGCGAGCGGCGGACGGGUGAGUAAUGUCUGGGAAACUGCCUGAUGGAGGGGGAUAACUACUGGAAACGGUAGCUAAUACCGCAUACCAUCAGAUGUGCCCAGAUGGGAUUAGCGAGUAGGUGGGGUAACGGCUCACCUAGGCGAAGAUCCCUCGCUGGUCUGAGAGGAUGACCAGCCCAACUGGAACUGAGAAACGGUCCAGACGCCUACGGGAGGCAGCAGUGGGGAAUAUUGCACAAUGGACGAAAGCCUGAUGCAGCCAGGCCGCGUGUUGGAAGAAGGCCUUCGGUUUGUAAAGCACUUUCAGCGGGGAGGCGUUACCCGCAGAAGAAGCACCGGCUAACUCCGUGCCAGCAGCCGCGGUAAUAC